GCAAGCACGCGAGGCUCCGGCGAUGCGCCCCAACGGCCAGCAGGGGGCGCGCCAACUCAAGGUAAAGGCUCACCUGGCGCCGCCCUCCAGCGGGACCCCCGGCUGCCGGGGACGCUCUCCAGGACGACAGCAGCUGCUCCGCAGGGAGCGGGGUCUCGACCCAGGGGAGGGGCCCGGGCUCCGGGGUCGCGUGGGACCCGGGGACCCGGCAGGCUCUCCCCUGUCGGGCCUGACCGCGGGGGACUGUGCUCCGCGGGGCCGCGCAGCAGUUGAGCCCGGGCGCCGACCGGGGCGUUUCCUCGGGAUGCUCCGCGGGGGCGGGGAGCCGGCAGCGGAAUGAGACUGAUCCCUUGCAAGUACCUCUUCACAUCCAGCAUGGAGUCUUCAUUGCUCAGGAGAGUCCUUCCAUCUCCAACCCCUGCACUAAGCCAAUUUCUAGGACUUCCCAAUGCUGACAAAGUCCAGCAAAGAAUUUCUUGCAGCCAGUCUCAAUCCAGCCCACCUUUUACACUUGAACAUGUUUAAGAUAUGCUGGAGCAUAUAGUGGAAGACAUCAGCAGUCUGCCUUCUGGAACUUGCUGCCAUCCACUGAAACAACAGAAAACAAUUGGAUACAGUUAACUGUCCAUCAGUCCGGGAUUGGUUAAAUAAUUUAUGACACACCCAUUUAUUGGGAGACAAAACAAAGUUCUCUAUUUACUAACAUGGGAAGAUCUCCAAAUGAAAAAAAGCUAGGGGCAGAAUAGUGAGUACGGGCUCCUAUCUUUUAUGUAAAAGUAGAAAAAGUAUAAUAAAAGAAUAUAAUUAUAGUCUUACUAGUUUGCA
rnacentral:lncRNA from 1 species